GCUUGCUUCAGCAGCAGCAUGUGCACUAAAAAUUGGAAUGCUGCAGACAAGAUUAGCUUGGCCCCUGGGCAAGGAUGACCCGUAAGGAGUGAAGUGUUCCAUAUUUCU